UGGACUGACCACCGGAACCUGGAGUACAUGCGGGCAGCAAGGAGGCUGACCCCUCGCCAGGCAAGGCCGGUGGUGGAUGGUCCCCUUCAGGGGUGUGAGGUGCGGGAGGUUCCCCCUCCCCCUCUGGACAUCGAGGGGGCCCCGGCGUACUCGGUCCGCUCCAUCAUCGACUCGAGGUGCCGGGCGGGGGGCCUCCAGUACCUCGUGGAGUGGGAGGGGUACGGCCCGGAGGAGCGGAGCUGGGUUCCGGUGAAGGACGUCCUGGCUCCCGUCCUUGUCCGCGAAUUCCACCAGCGUCGGCCGGAUCGCCCUGCUCCGCGCCCCCCCGGGUCGGCCCCGAGGCCGGUGCCGUCGCGCGGCUAGGGCCGCGUGUCAGGGGGGGGGUACUGUGACGACUACGACCUCUGCUGGUUCACCUCCCCCUGCAGCGGGCGGGCCCCGGCGGUCGACGUCACCGGCUUUCUGACACCACCGUCUCAUCAUGCAUUUCACCUGUGUCUCGUUUAGUGCACCUGUUCAUCAUCGCUGUUUCCCCCGGUAUAUAUGUUCCCUCUGCUCCCCCUGUCUUUG
ensembl:lncRNA